rnacentral:rRNA from 2 species
GCAGUCGAACGAUGAUGCCCAGCUUGCUGGGUGGAUUAGUGGCGAACGGGUGAGUAACACGUGAGUAACCUGCCCCUGACUCUGGGAUAAGCGUUGGAAACGACGUCUAAUACUGGAUAUGAUCACUGGCCGCAUGGUCUGGUGGUGGAAAGAUUUUUUGGUUGGGGAUGGACUCGCGGCCUAUCAGCUUGUUGGUGAGGUAAUGGCUCACCAAGGCGACGACGGGUAGCCGGCCUGAGAGGGUGACCGGCCACACUGGGACUGAGACACGGCCCAGACUCCUACGGGAGGCAGCAGUGGGGAAUAUUGCACAAUGGGCGAAAGCCUGAUGCAGCAACGCCGCGUGAGGGAUGACGGCCUUCGGGUUGUAAACCUCUUUUAGUAGGGAAGAAGCGAAAGUGACGGUACCUGCAGAAAAAGCACCGGCUAACUACGUGCCAGCAGCCGCGGUAAUACGUAGGGUGCAAGCGUUGUCCGGAAUUAUUGGGCGUAAAGAGCUCGUAGGCGGUUUGUCGCGUCUGCUGUGAAAUCCCGAGGCUCAACCUCGGGCUUGCAGUGGGUACGGGCAGACUAGAGUGCGGUAGGGGAGAUUGGAAUUCCUGGUGUAGCGGUGGAAUGCGCAGAUAUCAGGAGGAACACCGAUGGCGAAGGCAGAUCUCUGGGCCGUAACUGACGCUGAGGAGCGAAAGCAUGGGGAGCGAACAGGAUUAGAUACCCUGGUAGUCCAUGCCGUAAACGUUGGGCGCUAGAUGUAGGGACCUUUCCACGGUUUCUGUGUCGUAGCUAACGCAUUAAGCGCCCCGCCUGGGGAGUACGGCCGCAAGGCUAAAACUCAAAGGAAUUGACGGGGGCCCGCACAAGCGGCGGAGCAUGCGGAUUAAUUCGAUGCAACGCGAAGAACCUUACCAAGGCUUGACAUACACCGGAAACGGCCAGAGAUGGUCGCCCCCUUGUGGUCGGUGUACAGGUGGUGCAUGGUUGUCGUCAGCUCGUGUCGUGAGAUGUUGGGUUAAGUCCCGCAACGAGCGCAACCCUCGUUCUAUGUUGCCAGCGGGUUAUGCCGGGGACUCAUAGGAGACUGCCGGGGUCAACUCGGAGGAAGGUGGGGAUGACGUCAAAUCAUCAUGCCCCUUAUGUCUUGGGCUUCACGCAUGCUACAAUGGCCGGUACAAAGGGCUGCGAUACCGUAAGGUGGAGCGAAUCCCAAAAAGCCGGUCUCAGUUCGGAUUGAGGUCUGCAACUCGACCUCAUGAAGUCGGAGUCGCUAGUAAUCGCAGAUCAGCAACGCUGCGGUGAAUACGUUCCCGGGCCUUGUACACACCGCCCGUCAAGUCAUGAAAGUCGGUAACACCCGAAGCCGGUGGCCUAACC